rnacentral:rRNA from 2 species
UCUGGCCUCAAAUCAGGUAGGACUACCCGCUGAACUUAAG